rnacentral:rRNA from 1 species
AUUGAACGCUGGCGGCAGGCCUAACACAUGCAAGUCGAACGAGUGGCGGACGGGUGAGUAAUGUCUGGGAAACUGCAUGAUGGCGGGGGAUAACUACUGGACACGGUAGCUAAUACCGCAUACCACCAUAUGUUCCCUGGUGGGAUUAUCUAGUUGGUGGGGUAACGGCUAACCAAGGCGACGAUCCCUAGCUGGUCUGAGAGGAUGACCAGCCAAACUGGAACUGAGAAACGGGCCAGACUCCUACGGGAGGCAGCAGUGGGGAAUAUUGCACAAUGGGCGCAAGCCGGAUGCAGCCAUGCCGCGUGUAUGAAGAAGGCCUUCGGGUUGUAAAGUACUUUCAGCGGGGAGGCGUUACCCGCAGAAGAAGCACCGGCUAACUCCGUGCCAGCAGCCGCGGUAAUAC